AUUGAACGCUGGCGGCAUGCCUUACACAUGCAAGUCGAACGGUAACGGGCCUUCGGGUGCCGACGAGUGGCGAACGGGUGAGUAAUGCAUCGGAACGGUACCUUUCAGUGGGGGAUAACGUAGCGAAAGUUACGCUAAUACCGCAUAUUCUGUGAGCAGGAAAGCAGGGGAUCGCAAGACCUUGCGCUGAUUGAGCGGCCGAUGUCAGAUUAGCUAGUUGGUGAGGUAAAGGCUCACCAAGGCGACGAUCUGUAGCGGGUCUGAGAGGAUGAUCCGCCACACUGGAACUGAGACACGGUCCAGACUCCUACGGGAGGCAGCAGUGGGGAAUAUUGGACAAUGGCCGCAAGGCUGAUCCAGCCAUGCCGCGUGCAGGAAGACGGACCUAUGGUUUGUAAACUGCUUUUGAACGGGAGAAACCCCCCUACGUNUAGGGGGCUGAUAGUACUGUUAGAAUAAGCAUCGGCUAACUUCGUGCCAGCAGCCG
rnacentral:rRNA from 1 species